AUGGUGGUGAUGGAUUAUGCGAAGGUUCUGGGGGUUGCCGCUGGAGAGCACAUUCAUCAUGGAGCUCGACCGAUCGAUCGAUCGAUCACCACGACUGGACAGGACAACCCCAGGAUCAGGAUGGAUGGAUCGAUCGACUUGUCCGGUCUGUCUGGAGGAUGGAGGGACGACUAUUGUCAACGGGGAGGCUAUUGUCAGCACGAAGCACAACCACAAUAUAUGUAUGAACAAGUUGUAAAAAAAAAAAUUUACACUAUGUGUGUACCAAAAAAAAAAGGAACAGAGGAGUCUGGAAUCAGCACUAUCUUGGCCAACUGUACUGACACUGAAGAUAUAAGUGAGGAUGUAAUAGAGCACAAGAAAGGGCAUUUGGUCUAG
rnacentral:rRNA from 1 species